CCUAUCAGGAUAUCUAUAACAUGGUUUCUUCAAAGGUACUUUUAAAAAUAAAAGCUCAGAGGGAAAGACUUUUCUCUACUAAACAAAUACAAGAAGCUAAGUACAAAAUGCAGUAUCUCUUUUAGCAAAAAACCUAGGUGUCACACUGGAGGGUGGAGAGCAAGGUCUGAAGAGAAUGAGACAUAGAACAGGUACUUUUUGAUUUGUAGGCUGGAAGGCAGGUAGAAAGAGAAUGUGGGCAUGUAGAGUUCAGAUGGUUGAAAAAGUGAAAACUUAAAUAAUUAGUUAUUUGGAUAAUUAGCCCAGACAAUGUAUUUCCUGAGUAGAAUGAAGUUUUUACAUUUUCAAUUACCCAGAAAAUAGCCUUAAAGUUCCAUUUCAUGCUACAAAUAUAGAUAUGGGCAAAGCUAUUUACUGAUGGGAGGUUGGGGAGGGGGCAUGAGGGACAAGCAAAUGAAAAGUGAACUGAGAAGGGGAAAGUUUCUGGCAGCUUUAAACCAGCAUUCUGCAUAACUUAACAGGGGGAGUAUAAUUUUAUAAGUGGAAUAUUUCUAUAGCAUUCGUAAAAAUUCAGGAAAAAAAUAAUAAAGGUGAGUAUUAAAAAAUAAGGCUAAGCAGGUAUCAUUUCAUUUUACAUAAAAUGGAGAUUGCCUUCUCAGCUGGCCUGAAGUUAAGGCAGCUAUUUCCAUUUACUAUGCCCCUUAAAGCAGCUUUAAAAGUAUCAGCCUCUCCGCUCAAUUGUAAAAUGCCUGCUAGUUUUUGAAGGAGUGCUUUGGAGGGUGAGAAAGAUUCAACUCUCAAAUGGCUAAAAGACAGUUUUAUGAAUCUCACUGUGUCUACAAGAUGAAGUAUUCAGGCCGUUAUCGUGUGCUUGUAUUUCCUGGAUAUGAACAGGCAGCUCCCGACUCGGUAUUGAUGACUGCUUACUAUGCUGGCACCUUUUGUGCUGCACAAUAGGUAACACAUCUGCAAAACCGCUCUCAGAAGCAGGAAAGGCAGCUGUUAAAAUGAUACUCUUCCUGCAUUAAAACCACUCCCCCCCACAAGUCGCGAGCCUUGCGAGCACUGUUAAGAAGUCAGCUCUCUGAUCCCUGUUGAUGAGUUUUAUAUACAUACACGUAGUCUUCUGAAAAUAUCAUCGAGGCAUGUUGCCAGGCUUCUAUUAUUAGCAAGAAUUCCACCUCUUGUGAAGCAACAGAAGCCAAACCAUUACAGCCGUUAGACCCCCUAAUUCCCACCUAGCAGGCAAGCCGAUCUCCCAUUGGGUUGGAAAAGGCUGAAAUUUGCAUGCAUAUCGAGUUUAACCAGAAACAGUCAUUUCAGUAGAAGAGGACAGCUCAAGGUGGAAAAAAACAAAAGUUUCCCAUCCCUGUUCCACUUGCCUCUUGUGCAAAGCCCAUCUCCAUAGCCAGCUACCCCGCAGCCCACCAGAAUCGCCAGAGCCCAUCUGGAUUGUGCUUGACAUAACCUGGGAGGAACUGGCACCUUGCAUUUGGCCAAAAGAGGAGCUUUCAGAGCAGGAGGGCUUCUGUAAUGUAACCAGGGCCCUUGGAUAAGAGCAAGGAUUCAACAAAAACUUGCAUGGAACUCUCUGCCUGUUUCCUGUUUCACAAGAUUGCCAUAUUCACAAAAUAGUGGCCCAGAAAUUCUCUCACCUUCUCAUCACUUAGAAUCUGUAUUUGUUUCCUAGGGCUGCCAUAACCAAUUGCUAUACAUUGGGUGCCUUAAAACAACAGAAAGUUCCAGAGGCCAGAAGUUUCAGCAAUCAAGACUCCAAAGGGAGAAUGCUUUUUUUGUCUUUUAGAUUCUGGUAGCUGUCAGCAUUCCUUGACUUGUGACCACAGCUUUCUAAUCUCGGCCUCUCUUCUGUUUGUCCUACCUCCCUUUGCCUCUCUCUUAGGACAUUUCUUGUGGCACUGUAGGCCUCACUCAGAUAAUCCAGGAGGAUCUUCUCAUCUUGAGAUUCUUCACAAUGACAUCAGCAAAGACCCAUUUUCCAAAUAAGCAAUCAUUCACAAAUUCCAGGAAUGGGGACUUGAUAACAAAAUCCAAGACUUUAAUCCUGGAGUAGCCACAGGUUUUUAGAGGGCAGUUGGUGCAACUGCCAACUGACACGAGGCUACUGAUUUAUUUAACAUUUUCCUCUACUCCAUGCCCCGAAGUUUGCACUUUUUUUGAUGUAUUGGUGCCUAAAAGUGUGAAUAAAUCUGGCCUGGCCGUUCUUCCCUUUAAUCCUGCCACUCACCUUUACCCUCUCUCCCGUCACCUUCCUUUUGUUCAACACACUGACUUUGCUGCUGUUACUAAGAAGGGGAGCGGGUAGAAGCCUUCGUCUCUUUAUUUCACUUGUCUCCUCUUAAAGUGAGUGGGCAAGAAAAGCAAGCAGAAUUUACAGAAUCCUUAUGCUACAAUAACUUAGUUCUACUCUCAAUCCACUGCCUUCAAGACCAAAAAGAUUUUUCUGUGUGCCACAGUCUAUUCCCUCUUUGUCUCCUUUCCUUUUUAUUCUAAGAUGAACCAGGCUAAGCGCAUGUAGCCGCCCUGCUGUUCAAGCCCAUUGUUCUGUCAACUCCUGCCCAGGGCAAGGAUGGUAGAUAUUGGAGUUAGGAGACAAUUUAAAACUACAUCUCCCCCAAAAAAUCCCUGGCAAGGAAUAAACACUCAAGGAUAUUGCCCACUCAAGUCUCCCCAAACCUGUGUCCACCUGAAAUUUGAAUUCAGAGUCUAGCCUUGCUUCCUACCACUUACACCGCAAUGAAGAAAAAAGGAAGUGCCAUAAGCAUCAUAAGAGCAUAUAACUUAGGUGAAUUUAACUUGAUGCACCAAGCUGAUGGUAGCAAGAGAGAACAUUCAAUUAUGGGGAGGUUGCCACCUACCAGUUCACUCAGUGAGCAUUCGCUCCAAUCAGCAUGAGAUGGGAGACAUUCACUUCUAUGUCCUCCACUAGUUUGGCCUCAGUUUCCAGCUGACUCUCAAAUAUAAGUAUCCCACUAUACUGAGCAGAAGUCUAGAAUUGAAAAAUAUGUCUUGUCAUGCAACAUGAUCCUUAAAGACAAUGCAACCACUUUAUUAUAAAUGCAUGCAUAAUACAUAUAGGAUGGUGUAUAUACUCUUUUAUGCAUUGCUGGCUUUAGAUGUUUUUAAUAAUUUUCAAAGGCAAUUUUGACAAUUCAUAAUUUUUCACUGACUUUAUAAUGUUCGAUUGCUACAACUCAACUGUGACAAAAGAAGGAAAGGAAUUAAAUAGCUAGAACUAAAAGAUACCAUAGAUAUUAUCACACAGUUAAGGGCUUUUUAUGACAGUAUUUUUAAGACCACAGCUGCAGAAGAAGUUUUAAAGGUCAUUUCACCCAGAAUAUAGUCUGUAUCAGUCAGGAUAGGCUAUCCUGAUGUAGUAACAAACAUCCCUGAAAUCCCAACAGUUUAAAAAGCAUCAAAGGUUCGACUCUCUUCAUGCCACAUGUCCACUGUGGGUCAGCUUUUUUCCUGCCCUGCACCACAUUCAUUCAGGGCACAGGCUGGCCGCAUAUGGUUUCUGUCAUGGCAAACAGAAAAGAGACAUAGCAAACCAUGUCUUUCCUCUUAAAACUUCUUCCUGGAAGAUGUCACUUCUACUCACGUCUCAAUGGCCAGAGUGAGAAUGGCCAUAGGAUUGCUUAUGAAUGGGUUGAGAUGUGUAAUUCCUUUGAGAGAGAAAAGGGGGUGAUCUUUAGCAAACUUCCAAAGAUUUUCCCCUCAAUAUUUCCCCAAAAUGGCCAUCCUGCCUAUGCUUAGAACCUCAACACCCCUCCAAGAAGACCAUUCUACUUUCCAUCAGUUCUAAGAAUUAGAAAGUUCUUCCUUUAGGUGGUUACAAAUCUAUCUCCUGAGACAUCUACCCUCUGGCUGGUCCUCCUUCUGUGCUUUGUCCAUCAGGACAAAUGUGGUUCUUUUUCAUGGGACAGCUCCUCCAAGAUGAGAAGCACCCAAGCCCUUCAACUAUUUCUCAUGUAACAUGGCAUUUGAUCUUUUCAUGGUAAUUUUGUUUCCUCAGCUCUCUAUGCCAAUAAUAAAUUUCCUUAGCAUUUCCCUCUGUCUCUAGGACUUUUUACAUAGUUGGCUUUUGAGCGAUGUGUUGAUGCGUUGUUACCAUCAAAUCCACUUCACUGGGUUCAAACGCCUGUCGCAAUGCCUGUGGCCUCCCUCCCAAUAUCUCCAAUGAACAAGAUUCCGCAGGAAGAUACACGGUUAUGGCACCCUAGGUAUCCGUGUUCCGUGGCACUGUUUGUACCUCAUUAGUAAACAUUUUCUUUAAAUUAUCUUGGAUACUCAUUAAAUAUUAUCAGCUACUUAGAACCAAAGGAUAAUUAUGAGUUUAAUGAAGCGUGCGCCAGCUUGCUGAAGUCUAACGCUGGUUUCUCUGCUGGGACCCCAUUUUGCUUUGCACUUAUCCUUCAGCAAAGCUACUCUACAAAGUCACUUUGGCAAUAAGAAGUAUUUAAUUAGAUUAAUGAAUUUUUAUCGCCUCUCCUAGGGAUUAGGCUUGUUAAAUCCUGGCGACCAAAGAACAACAGAUUUUUUAUUACUGCAUGUUUAGGGAUGCACUGUUGCGCUGCUGUGGCGGUCCUCGUAAGUCAGCCUGCUCUGGGCAGUUCUACCUGGCAUUCCUUAGAGGGGGCCAGGGGUGUGUGGCAGAGACAACCUGCGCCUUCAGUUAAAUCACAGAAAUCAAAAUGCAAAUAGAAUCACACACAGCCCAGUCAAGGUUUUCUUUCGGCAGCUGUCUUUCCGUCGGAGGCUGCUGACUUAUGGUGGUACCCGGACCACCUCUUCCCAGAUCUGCAGGUCUUCCCCUCUUCCCAGAUCUGCAGGUGUACAGCUAACUCUUCAUGGGAGCAUGAGUAGCCACCGGUAUGUUCCUAAGUCAUGGGUGCAGCAAUUCUUAGUAAGGCAGGAGGGGGGAGUUUCUUUCAGAAGAGUCGUGUUUUAAAGGUGUUAAGUGAUACACAUACGUAAAAUAAUUGGAUUAUCUUUCUUAAGGGAUGCCUUGAAUGAGGGCAGUGGCUUUCAUUUAGAAGCUUCAAAGCACUUUUUAAAACAACCACAACAAUCAACCCUGUUUCUCCCCAUCACAACCUUUGAGGGAGUUUUGGAGCAUUGACAUGCCUGCUUAAUACAUGGAAAAACUGAGGCACGAAAGCACAGAAUUGGUUCAAGUUGUAAAACAAAUCCAUAUCACAACAGAAGAAUGGUUUUGUGAUGACAAGACAGAUGUGCUUUCAGAAGCAUGUAAAUCCAGACAGAAUCACAGACUCCUCUCAGAGUUUUACAGUGAUGCCUCAGGAAAAGAGAAGGAAAUAGGAAUGGGAGCUAAGAGGGGAUGGGAGAUUUCCUGGGGUGAUAAAUUUUUGAUCAGAGCAGAGAGGGGAAAACAGACUCGGAGAUACUGAAAAUCUGCUUCAUGGCAGUUCGGAGGGAAAUUGAAACUAAAAUAUAAACAAGAGGGGUAUUACUAAAUGUAGCUUAUUUGGAAACAUUUAGGAUUUAUUACACAACACCCACAGUGACCAUAUAAUUUAUCACCCAAAUUGGGACUUUUUUGGGAGAGAAAGGUGACACCAUUAAUUACAUCCUAAUUGCACCACACUCGCUUCUUUGCAGUUAGCCUAGGAAUCAAAUUUUUCCAGUUUUUAAAUAAGUAUUCUCAUUGAAACACUGUCUAAGUGCUACAAAACCUUCCAUUUUGAUUAGGAACUG
rnacentral:lncRNA from 1 species